rnacentral:rRNA from 1 species
AUGCUGAUUCAUUCUACUGGAUUGGUCACAUCUGCUGCUUCCGAUCUGUUGCUUGGUGCUAGUCCGUCUGUGCUAUCGUCCCCUGUGGCGACUCUCGCACGUGGUGAUUGUCGCUCUACAUCGACUCUUCCUGCGACUUUCAUUAGUGAUUAUCGUUCUACACUGGCUCCUCUCACGGCCCCCAUCGGAUGUGUUGAUGCAUAUGACUCUAUUGACCCGCGUCUUCCUUUGGCACUUGGGGCUUGUCUGCAUGUGCCCUCGUCUCCUUCACCGGCCUCUACGGAUGAUGUUGGUUACGCUAUGUCGCCUCCUCUGGCGGCUUCCACAGGUGGUGGUGGGCCUGGUGGCCGCUCCUCUUCUAGUGCUACUGCGUCGUCUACUUCAGCUAUGUACUUCACCGAGCAGGAGAUUGUGGGACUUCGUGGUCUGCUGACCGCCUCCGGCUCUUCAUUGCCGGCUGCAUCUACGUCGACCUCUUCAGUUGAGCUCCUGACUGAGCAGGAGAUUACGCGCCUUCGGUGCUUGCUCGCUGCAUGCUCUGGUUCUUCACCGACGGGUUCUGCUGGUUCUGCUACUGACUCCUCUGGCAUUGUGAGACCACCUUCAACACAGUCAGGUACAUCUCCAUGGAUUCUUGAUACUGGAGCAUCUUUUCAUAUGACUCAUGAUUCAUCCACCUUGUCUUCUAUUCGUGCUCUUGAUUCUCCUAUUCAUGUUCUUACUGCUGAUGGUACCUCCCUCCCGGUUAAUGGUCGAGGCAUUCUUAGCACCUCAUCUUUUCAUGUUCCUGAUGUUGCUCAUGUUCCUCGACUUACCAUGCAGCUCCUUUCUGGUGGUCAGAUUGUUGACUCCGGUUGUCGGGUGAUUCUAGACUUUGACACUUGUUCUGUUCUGGACCGUCACACUGGUGCUCUCCUUGGUGCUGGCCCCCGACACCGUGACUCUCAGGGUCUCUGGGAGCUUGACAGGCUUCACCUUCCCUCCGCUGCCACCGCCGCCAGUCUUUCCCCCACUGUUGCCUUGUCUACCAGCUCUUUUCAGCAGUGGCAUCAUCGCCUUGGUCACCUGUGUGGCUCUCGUCUCUCAUCCUUAGUUCGACGUGGUCUUCUUGGAUCUGUCUCCGGCGGUGUGUCUUUAGACUGUCAGGGUUGUCGGCUUGGUAAACAGGUCCAGUUACCUUAUCCUCAUAGUGACACUAUGUCUCAGCAUCCUUUUGACCUUGUUCACUCUGAUGUCUGGGGUCCAACUCCAUUUGCCUCGAAAGGAGGUCAUCGCUACUAUAUUAUUUUUAUAGAUGAUUUCUCUCGAUACACCUGGAUAUAUUUUAUGUCUUCUCGUAGUUAG